rnacentral:pre_miRNA from 1 species
CACAUACUCCCUCCGUCCGAAAAUACUUGUCAUCAAAAUGGACAAAAAGGGAUGUAUCUAGAAUUAAAAUACAUCUAGAUACAUCCCCUUUUAUUCAUUUUGAUGACAAGUAUUUCCGGACGGAGGGAGUAUAUC